rnacentral:lncRNA from 1 species
CUCCACCUCCAGUUUUCUCUCGACCUCUACCUGUGCAGUCAUCUCAACGAUCCAAGCACGCACAGCCACCACCACCUGUAACUUUACUGCCUCCUCCAGUAUUCUUGCCACCACCACGUGAAGUUACCUUCACCAACACCAGUCAACUCACUGUCCCCACCACCUGAAUUUAUCUAAAACCUCUUAGUUGGACAAGAGACCAAUCUGUUUAGGGAGAUAGUCGAAGUUUUCAUCAGCCCUAAUAGUGAAGCAAGCAUUAGCGACAACGUGGCGAGCAGUCGCUCGCUGUAGCAGCGACGGUCGACAAAUCAAGGCAUCGCUAGUUGAAGCAACGACUCCUUUGCGACCUAGUUUAAAACUCAUCGCACGUAGUGUUUGCACAGCACCAUCGCUGGGGGCACUACUUAUGUCGUGGUGGUGGUGGUGGCGGCGGCGAUCACUUGGUUUCGGUGGCAGGCAGGCGGGUGGUGGUGGGUAUAGUGUGAUGGCACAUGG